CGUCGUGACGCACUCGCACCGUGUCCAGUCGCAUCGUAUAGAGACGAAUUAAGCCAACAAUACAAGGAAGUCUCACAUAACAAUGGACGAAAUGUAAACAAGAAGUACGCUUGAAUGAAACGGAUCGUGACAAUGAGGGAAAAAAAAUUAACGAACAUUGCAAUAAUGUGCAGCAACUGACGAAAUUACAAGAAAAAAAAUAAGGUUAAUAGCAUAGGUAUUACUGACCCUGAAAUUUCCUAUUUUAUCAGCCAGCAUGCCAGCGAGCGGCGGCAUCAUGAUUGAGACGACAGGGGUCACAGCCGACAUGAUUGCAGUCUCCUCCACAUUGAUGCCCAACUCUCGCAUGUGAAUCGUCAAAUAGGGAUAGAGUACGAACAAAGCUGGAAACAUUACUUACUAAACAACAAUAUAGACAAAUAGUUCAUAUCGUAAGGGUAAAGGAUUUAGCUUUACAACUCAUGUGUAAGACUAUACAUAGAUUGUCAACUAGGCAAAUUAAUGACAUGAGAAAAAAAACUUUCUUAAAUUACGUUACAUAAUAAAGUUAUAGAAACAAACAACAAAUGUACGACAGAAUUAAAUACUUCUUUUUAAAGUUUUUAUAAAAUCUAAGAGAUGACAUUAUAUAAUACGCAUAUAUUGAGGCUACAGACACGAAUCGCAUAAUCAAUAGCUGUGAUCGUUGUACCAACAACUGGCAACCUUUGGCAUAUAACGACAUUAUGUUUAUAACUUAUUUGUAUACUCACUAGAUGCAUGCAUAAAAAAUAGAAUCUUCAAAGGUACUAGUUUCUUCUGUUUGAGAUCGUCUGUGAUCCGUGUGAAAAAUAAUCUAAGAAACUGCAUUUUGUUAUAUUACACGUAACUUCUGUGAGUGAUUCUGUCAGUACAGUCAAUGUCCUAGGUUGGAAAAUUGUUUGUUAUCCAGCUUCCCGCAUAUAUGCAACUUGUCCGUCUCUCUUGAUUCAUGGAAAUGUAUUGUUUAGGUUAAUAUC